UUUAAAAGCACCUAGCCACUGAUGCUUUCAGAUUUUUGAUCUUUGGAUGAAUAUUUGUAUGAUUAUAAUAGUGGUUCUUUAGAAUUAAAUGAAGGAAAAACUUCAAAUACUCCCCUUGUGGUUUCAAUUUUUUUCACUUUAGUACUAUGUGGUUUAAAGUGUAUCAAGUUAGUACCCUAUGGUUUUGCACAUUUUCACUUUAGUAUCCUGUGGUUUAAAGUGUAUCAAGUUAGUACCCAGUAGUUUCGCACUUUUUCACUUUAGUACCCUGUGGUUUCGCACUUUCUCACUUUAGUACCCUAUAGUUUAAAAACUACAGGGUACUAACUUAAUUGAUACAAAAAUUAAACCAUAGGGUACUAACUUAAUACAUUUUAAAACACAGGGUACUAAAGUGAAAAAGUGUGAAACCAAAGGAUACUAAAAUAAAAAAGUACGAAACUACAUGGGGGUUUUUGAAGUUUUUCUUUAAAUGAAUGAUUGGUAAAAUAACAUAAUCUAAGAGGUGGGAUGGAUCAUAGAGAUAGAUUUAAUAGCGAAAAACUUAUAACUACCAUGUGCUUGGUUUUUUGAAAAACAUCAU
rnacentral:lncRNA from 1 species